GAAAGAUCGCUAGCUCAGGACGUUGAAAAGCGAUUCUCGAUUUUCAGACUACAGAAUAGAUCCCUGAAUUAUCCCCGGAUUACUAUCUUACAUAUAUGUACAUAUUUGUAUAUUUAUAUAUAUAUAUAUAGAGAGAGAGAGAGAGAAUGUUACAAGGAAGUAAUCUAAAACUUUGUAAAUUUGUAGUACAUGUUUAAUGAGAGAAGUAUAAAAUAUCUGAUAAGCGUAGAUCCAAAAAUUAAUCCUAUUUAUUUGAUAUACCG
rnacentral:misc_RNA from 1 species